GACGAACGCUGGCGGCGUGCUUAACACAUGCAAGUCGAGCGGUAAGGCCCUUUCGGGGGUACACGAGCGGCGAACGGGUGAGUAACACGUGGGUGACCUGCCCCUAGCUCUGGGAUAAGCCUGGGAAACUGGGUCUAAUACCGGAUAUGACUCCAUGACGCAUGUUGUGGGGUGGAAAGCCUUGUGCGGCUAGGGAUGGGCCUGCGGCCUAUCAGCUUGUUGGUGGGGUGAUGGCCUACCAAGGCGACGACGGGUAGCCGGCCUGAGAGGGCGACCGGCCACACUGGGACUGAGACACGGCCCAGACUCCUACGGGAGGCAGCAGUGGGGAAUCUUGCGCAAUGGGCGAAAGCCUGACGCAGCGACGCCGCGUGGGGAUGACGGCCUCGGUGUAAC
rnacentral:rRNA from 1 species